rnacentral:rRNA from 1 species
GACGAACGCUGGCGGCAUGCCUAAUACAUGCAAGUCGAGCGAACAGAUGAAGUGCUUACACUUCUGACGUUAGCGGCGAACGGGUGAGUAACACGUAAGGAAUCUACCUAUAAGCGGGGGAUAACAUUCGGAAACGGGUGCUAAUACCGCAUAAUAUCUUCUUCCGCAUGGAAGAAGAUUGAAAGACGGCUCUGCUGUCACUUAUAGAUGACCUUGCGGUGCAUUAGUUAGUUGGUGGGGUAACGGCCUACCAAGACGAUGAUGCAUAGCCGACCUGGGAGGGUGAUCGGCGACAUUGGGACUGAGACACGGCCCAAACUCCUACGGGAGGCAGCAGUAGGGAAUCUUCCGCAAUGGGCGAAAGCCUGACGGAGCAAUGCCGCGUGAGUGAAGAAGGCCUUCGGGUCGUAAAACUCUGUUAUAAGAGAAGAACAAAUUGUAGAGUAACUGCUACAGUCUUGACGGUAUCUUAUCAGAAAGCCACGGCUAACUACGUGCAGCCGCCGCCGUAA